rnacentral:rRNA from 1 species
GACGAACGCUGGCGGCGUGCCUAACACAUGCAAGUCAACUUGACUGAAGGAGCAAUCUGGCAGUAGAGUGGCGCAAGGGUGCGUAACGCGUAAGUAACUUGCCCAAGGUAAGGAAUAACGUCGAGAAAUCGGCGCUAAUACCUCAUAAUGCAGCGGAUCCGCAUGGAUAUGUUGUUAAAGGUUUACCGCCUUGGGAUAGGCUUGCGUCUGAUUAGCUAGUUGGUGUGGUAACGGCACACCAAGGCUACGAUCAGUAACUGGUCUGAGAGGAUGAUCAGUCACACUGGAACUGAGACACGGUCCAGACUCCUACGGGAGGCAGCAGUGAGGAAUAUUGGGCAAUGCUCGAAAGAGUGACCCAGCAACGCCGCGUGGAGGAUGAAGGUAUUCUAUAUCGUAAACUCCUGUGAGAGCAGACGAAAGACAGAUUAUUAAUCUGGAUGACUGUAUGCUCAGAGG